rnacentral:rRNA from 1 species
AACGAACGCUGGCGGCAUGCCUAACACAUGCAAGUCGAACGAGACCUUCGUGUCUAGUGGCGCACGGGUGCGUAACGCGUGGGAACCUGCCCUUAGGUUCCGAAUACCUCCCUGAAAGGGGUGCUAAUACCGGAUAAUGUCUUCGGACCAAAGAUUUAUCGCCUUUGGAUGGGCCCGCGUUGGUUUAGCUUGUUGGUAGUGUAAAAGCCUACCAAGGCGUGGAUCCAUAGCUGGUCUGAGAGGAUGAUCAGCCACACUGGGACUGGGACACGGCCCAGAAUCCUACGGGAGGGAGGAGUGGGGAAUACUGGACUAUGGGGGAGGGGCUGAUGCAGCAAUGCCGCGUGAGUGAUGAAGGCGUUAGGGUUGUACAGCUCUUUUACACGGGACGAUAAUGACGGUACCGGGAGAAUAAGCACCGGCUAACUCCGUG